GAUGAACGCUAGCUACAGGCUUAACACAUGCAAGUCGAGGGGAAACGGCAUUUAGUGCUUGCACUCUUUGGACGUCGACCGGCGCACGGGUGAGUAACGCGUAUCCAACCUUCCCAUUACUGUGGGAUAACCUGCCGAAAGGCAGACUAAUACCGCAUAGUCUUCGAUGACGGCAUCAGAUUUGAAGUAAAGAUUUAUCGGUAAUGGAUGGGGAUGCGUCUGAUUAGCUUGUUGGCGGGGUAACGGCCCACCAAGGCUACGAUCAGUAGGGGUUCUGAGAGGAAGGUCCCCCACAUUGGAACUGAGACACGGUCCAAACUCCUACGGGAGGCAGCAGUGAGGAAUAUUGGUCAAUGGACGGAAGUCUGAACCAGCCAAGUAGCGUGCAGGAUGACGGCCCUAUGGGUUGUAAACUGCUUUUGUAUGGGGAUAAGGUUAGGGACGUGUCCCUAUUUGCAGGUACCAUACGAAUAAGGACCGGCUAAUUCCGUG
rnacentral:rRNA from 1 species